GGCCUUUUGUUUAUAAUUUAAGGUCUAGCCUGCCCACUGAGUAGUUAAAGGGCUGCGGUAUCUUGACCGUGCUAAGGUAGCAUAAUAAUUAGUUUUUUAAUUGAAAGCUGGAAUGAAGGGUUGAACGAGAAAAAAUCUGUCUCAAUUUAAUUUAUUUAGAAUUUUAUUUUUAAGUAAAAAAGCUUAAAUUUUUCAGAAAGACGAGAAGACCCUAUAGAGUUUUAUAAAAAUUUUUAUCUUUAAAUUUUAAGAAUUUAAUUUUUAAAUAAUUUUUUUUAUUUAGUUGGGGUGACUGAAAAAUUUAAUUAACUUUUUCUUUAUUUUUACACUAAUUUGUGAUUUUUUGAUCCAUUUUUUGAUUAAAAGAUUAAAUUACCUUAGGGAUAACAGCGUAAUUUUUCUAGAGAGUUCUAAUCGACAGAAUAGUUUGCGACCUCGAUGUUGGAUUAAAAUUAAUUUUUGGUGCAGAAGCUAAAAGUUUAGGUCUGUUCG
rnacentral:rRNA from 1 species